UGCACGUAGAUUCAGUUUUGUGGCGCAUGCGUCACGUCCUCGCUGGCUCGCUUCUCGUUGUUGGACAGCCUGUUUGUCGACACGUGUCCCUCAUGUAACGUAACUAAUUUCUACAGUGGCAUGUUGUUUGUGCGGAUUUGACAUCUGAACGGGUCAGAAUAUCAACGAUGAUUCAGACGAAGAGCAGCAAAGAGGCCCAGUGUCCAGGACGAACCGGAGGCCAACCGCUGGUCAUGUGACUGUGGAUGACAGAAGGUUUUGCAGUGAACCAGAUUCUCCGGCGCUGCCAUGCCAUUAGAAAAUCUGCAGACCCCAGCAAUGUAAGCAGACCAUAAACACCCCCUCAAGUGAAGGAGCUCUACCAGUGACCACUGUCACACACACGACAUAGGCAAAUAAACUCAGCUCUCCAGUUUCAGUCAUGGACAUUUUCAGCUGACUCUACAGUUUCAGCUCACGACGUCCUCCA